CCUACGGGAGGUAGCAGUGAGGAAUAUUGGUCAAUGGACGAGAGUCUGAACCAGCCAAGUAGCGUGAAGGAUGACUGCCCUAUGGGUUGUAAACUUCUUUUAUAUGGGAAUAAAAUGUUCCACGUGUGGGAUUUUGUAUGUACCAUAUGAAUAAGGAUCGGCUAACUCCGUGCCAGCAGCCGCGGUAAUACGGAGGAUCCGAGCGUUAUCCGGAUUUAUUGGGGUUAAAGGGAGCGUAGGUGGAUUGUUAAGUCAGUUGUGAAAGUUUGCGGCUCAACCGUAAAAUUGCAGUUGAAACUGGCAGUCUUGAGUACAGUAGAGGUGGGCGGAAUUCGUGGUGUAGCGGUGAAAUGCUUAGAUAUCACGAAGAACUCCGAUUGCGAAGGCAGUUCACUGGACUGCAACUGACACUGAGGCUCGAAAGUGUGGGUAUCAAACAGGAUUAGAUACCCUAGUAGUC
rnacentral:rRNA from 1 species